CAUGAAGUUAAAAGACCCUUGCUCCUUGGAAGAAAAGUUAUGCCCAACUUAAACAGCAUGUUAAAAAGCAUAGACGUUACUUUGCUGACAAAGGCCCAUCUAGUCAAAGCUAUGGCUUUUCCAGUAGUCAUGUAUGGAUGUGAAAGUUGGACUAUAAAGAAAGCCAAGUAGUGAAGGGUUGAUGCUUUUGAACUGUGGUGUUGAAGUCUCUUGAGAGUCCUUGGACUGUAGGGAGAUCAAACCAGUUAAUCCUAAGGGAAAUCAGUCCUGAAUGUUCAUUGGAAGGACUGAUGCUGAAGCUGAAGUUCCAGUGCUUUGCUACCUGAUGUGAAGAACUGACUCAUUUGAAAAGACCCUGAUUCUGGGAAAGAUUGAAGGCAGGAGGAGAAGGGGAUGACAGAGGAUGAGAUGGUUGGAUGACAUCACCGACUCGAUGGGCAUGAGUUUGGUUCAGAAGAGGAGCUCGCCUCGCUGCUCAGGGCCCCAGUGUCCUCUGGACUUCUGGGACUACUGAAUUCAAGACAUGAUUUUGCUGCCUGUUGCAUUCCAUUUUGGACACACAACUGCUGGGCCAAUUAGUUUACCUCACGAGGGACAGGAAGCUGGGUGGAUACAGAAUGAAGAGUCGUAAAAGGAACAUCACAAAGAGAAAGCGAGAUACAUGAGCAAUUCUGAUUUGACACGUUUGAAAGGAUUCUUUAUGUAGACAAGGUAGAGAAAAACCAGCUGUCCACCAACUGUGAUCCCUUUACGUGAGACAUCCUGGAAUUGAAUACAGAGUGAAUUGGACCCAAAGUAGAUAAGUGUGAGGCUUGCCUCUACUGAAUGCAGAAGUUGCAGAAUCAAUAAGAACCAGGUGUUUCAUCAU
ensembl:lncRNA